CCUGUGAUUGAGUCCAAUUUCUAAAAAUGCAUUAAAAAGUCAAAAAUCAAAAAAUCACAUAUUUCUCAAUGGGGUGUUGUUUGUGCCAUUUUGAGGGGAAAAAAUGAAUGUAUUCAUUUUUCGACAACAUUUAAAUUUUAAUAGAACGCUCCAGGAACUUACCAGAAGGUCAGGGAGCCAGAAGCUAUGUUGGUGCUUUUUAUUUUAUUAUUAUUGUUAUUAUUAUUAUUAUUUGUUUUUAUUGCAAACGUUGAAACCAACAACAACCUUGUACACAUAGUAUCACUUCUGGACGUUGAGUGCAGAAAAAAAAAAAAGUGGAUUGGAUCCAUUUUCGAAUAAGGCUGUGAAAAAUGUGGAAGAGGUGAAGGCGUGUGAAGUCGCGGCGGCUGCUUUUUAAAUAAAGUUUGAAUCGAGCCCAGACAGAUGGCCCGUUGCACUAAACGCACAUGCGUACACGCACAUGCUGGGCAAACCGCCAAAAUUCAAGAGCACAAAUUCUACCUAACCAGACAAUUGUGACAAAGCAGCCCUUGACCUGCCCGUUCCAUUUUUUUCUUUUUACUGAUUUUUUUUUUUAAAAGACGAUUUCAGUGUGCCAUUUUUUUCAUGUCGUUAAUUCUUACCAAAUGUUUUCUACCACCAGUUUUACACGUCAAAUGCCAUGUGUGCUCUGUACAUAUGAACAUAUGUACAUACAACUGAGGAUCAUAAUAGUCCAACUAAACAAGAAUAAGAUUUUUUUUUUUUUUCUGUGCUCGUCGGUCAUGUGACCUCGAGAAACAGGAACUGGAGUUUCAGACUGUCACAGAUUUCAUCUGUGAAAAUGCCAACCAGUAAAAGAAAUAAAACAUAAAACUCUCUGCGGGGAUUUCAAGGUUUUUCGUUCAACACUGAAAAUGUAAAAAUAAAUACAAAAUAAAUAAAUACAUAAAUAAAUGCAACUUUACUCCAGACCUCGGAACUUUUCCAGGGUCGCACCGAUCCAUUUAGCUCUCGGAAUCACAGGUACCAAGAACCAAAAGGCCCUGGAACCUAAGUUUCAGAUUUAGUUCUUGGACCUUGCUAGUACUUUUAAGCAGUCCAGGGACUAACUAGGACCCUUUUGGUCCUAAAAAGACCCUGCUCGUGCUUUCAAGCUGGAAGUUCCAGGAAACCCAGGUACCAAGAGCUAAAAGUUACUGGAACCUCAGCUUCGGAUUGCCUCUCCUCUGUUUAUAUUUAAAUUUAGUUCUGGGGUAAAAGGAAGACCCAUAACAACGUAGAAGAUCGGAUCCAUUUUAUUCAAGGAAGUAGCAGUGCCGAGAACUUGGAAGUUCCUGGUACACAGGCUACCUAACUUUGGUUCAGGGUUCAUUUUGUGCAAAGAGUCGGUUGCCAUGGCAACAACUGUCGUGGCGAGCACAAAAAGAUAAUAAAGCAAUAAGUUGUCUGGAUUUCUUUCCCCUCUGCCAGCGUACAAAAAGAAAACACACACACACACACACACACACACACACACACACAAACACACGCAUAAAAUCCCGAAAGCCCCCCUCCCUCCCUCAUUUGUUCAAUGUAACAAAGGAUUGCUCAUCUUUGUCGGUGUGUACUGUGCUGUAGGAUAUGUAGUUUCAUUGUAAGCAUAGCCAACUGUGUGUGCAAUCAUGGAUAUGAAAGUAAAAAAACAAAACAAAACAAAAGAUGUGUAAAAUUAUGUAUGUUGUCUUUGAUUUUGUGUUUUCUAAAAGAGAAUGGAAUCUCAGUAAAUAUGUCAGUGUGAUGGCUCAUCGUAAACCCAAGUGAGACUGUGCUUUUGUUUCAAAGCUGUGUGAUAUUUUUCUGAAAACUCAUCAUGGGGUUUGCAAUCAACCCUUUAGAAUCAUGGAAAAACCAUAAGGAAUAAAAGUUAUGAUGAAAAGAG